CAUGUAGAGUGGAGAGACAAACAAACACAGUGUCCUUCAUGUAGGCCGGAGAGACAAACAAACACAGCGCCCUUCAUGUAGGGCGGAGAGACAAACAAACACAGCUCCCUUCAUGUAGGGUGGAGAGACAAACAAACCCAGCACCCUUCAUGUAGGGCGGAGAGACAAACAAACACAGCUCCCUUCAUGUAGGUUCGUGAGACAAACAAACACAGCACCCUUCAUGUAGGGUGGAGAGACAAACAAACCCAGCACCCUUCAUGUAGGGCGGAGAGACAAACAAACACAGCUCCCUUCAUGUAGGGCGGACAGACAAACACAGAAACCUUCAUUGGUUAGUUCUCACUCUUGAUUGUUGGAAUCAGGAUGGGACUGAU